GGCAGGAUCCUUAGGAGACAUAAUUAACAGUUUGAGCUGGUUCACAAAAGGCAGGUGUUUUUGUGGAUCCGUAUAUUUUAAUUUCAUGCUCUGUUAAGGUGAAGGAAAUGUAACGUUGCAAUGCACUAAUAAAACGGCCAAGAAUAGAGGGAUUUGUUCCCCAGCCCCUGGUCUUUUUUGGAUGUGAGAGGUUACUAACUCAUUCUCUUUGGCAAAGCAGGUGGCAGACAGUGCAAACAGAGCCCAGCCUGAGAGCUGUGAUAUGCAAGACUCUUCUGCCCUCACGGAGUGAACCUGCUUGGAAUCCAUCUACGCCGGCUGGACCUGUCCUGUGGCCAGCCGCAGAGCUAAAAGAUGGAUGAAUAAUGCUGAGUGCUCAUUGGCUGGUCUAUGAAAGUUCUGGAGGCUGGGAAGUCUAAGAUGAAGGCAGCAAGGUAUUGGCAGAUCCUGAGUCUGGUGAAGACCUGCUUCCUGGUUUGCAGACAGCUGUCUCCUUGCACCCACACAUGGUGGAGAGCAGAGGGAGAGCGGGACAGAAACUUACAUGGAGGAGAGACAUCUGAGAGUGAAAUCAAAAUUGAGCAGCAUGUGGACAGCAGAGAAAAAAGGAAGGAGAAAGUCCAGAUAGAAGUAGAAGAGGAGGACACCAGGAAAAUUCAGAGUAAGCCGUCGGAUUUUUGCACAUUCCAGAAAUGACGACAACAGAAGAGGGAAUUCUGAGAAAUGCAGAAAGCUAUUCUGAACCUUGCCUCCUACUAAAGGCUUAGGAGAAAAUAAAUUCGUACAAAAGUGAGCAACAAGUACAAUUCAAGGUCAAGCCCAUUCAGAGGUAAUAGAAGAAAAACUGAGAAUAAUAAUAUCCUCAAAAGGCAAUGAACACCUGCCAGAAAGUCAAGCCCAGAAAACUAUAAUCCACUCUUUCAAAAUGAACAAAAUGACAUUUGGAAAGUGAUACAUGACAUGAAAGAAUUACAUACAUUAGAAUUGGAAAAACCUCAAAAGGAAAACACCAAACUCAGGAAAGAUUUAGGAAUAAAAUUUAGGAAUAAAAAGUAGAAAGGGAGCAAUGUAUUAUCAAUGUGCAAGAACUUGGUGAAUAUUGUUCACAUUUUCCUUCCUGAAAAGUAAACCAGAGAAUGAGCUUCCCGUCACCAAGGGAACUGGAGAGACAUUCACAUAAAGACUGGUGGUGAGCACUGAGUGUACAGUCAUGUGCAGCAUUAAUGCUAAAGGAGGUUGAAAAGGAGAGAGUAGAGUAUUUACAGGUAUUUCUCUGCUGUGACGGAGAAAAAAGGGAGGGGAUGAGAAGCGCAUAGUUAGAAAAUUACUUCAUUAAUUUCCGUAAUUAUAUCGGUAGUUGUACUGGUAUUGGCAUUCGGAAGUUGUUGGGUGUAUGUUGUGAAAUGAAACAAAUAAAUAAUCAUCUGGUUCUGAGGAUUCCAUCAGGAUUCUUAGGAUGGAGCAAAGGAGAUACAGAUCUGAUAUGUGAAAGCAUGCUACAUAUAAAUUAGAUACAUCUGUAUCAUCUCAUGAAGUAUUUUAUCUUUAACACACACAUAUAAACAGGAACCUAGGAGCGUUCGAGGUUCUUUACACUUAAAAGCCUUAGAAGCAAUGACUUACCCACAA